rnacentral:rRNA from 1 species
CAGGCUUAACACAUGCAAGUCGAGGGGUAGCAGGGUAGCAAUACCGCUGACGACCGGCGCACGGGUGAGUAACACGUAUCCAACCUUCCCAUGACUCAGGGAUAGCCUUUCGAAAGAAAGAUUAAUACCUGAUAGUACUUUUUUAAGGCAUCCUGAAAAAGUUAAAGAUUUAUCGGUUAUGGAUGGGGAUGCGUUCCAUUAGAUAGUUGGUGAGGUAACGGCUCACCAAGUCUUCGAUGGAUAGGGGUUCUGAGAGGAAGGUCCCCCACAUUGGUACUGAGACACGGACCAAACUCCUACGGGAGGCAGCAGUGAGGAAUAUUGGUCAAUGGGCGAGAGCCUGAACCAGCCAAGUAGCGUGAAGGAUGACGG